UACGUAGGGACCAAGCGUUGUUCGGAUUUACUGGGCGUAAAGGGCGCGUAGGCGGCCUGCUAAGUCGAACGUGAAAUCCCUGGGCUCAACCCAGGAACUGCGUCCGAUACUGGUUGGCUUGAAUCCGGGAGAGGGAUGUGGAAUUCCAGGUGUAGCGGUGAAAUGCGUAGAUAUCAGGAGGAACACCAAUGGCGAAGGCAGCUCGCUGGGACGGUACUGACGCUGAGGCGCGAAAGCGUGGGGAGCAAACAGG
rnacentral:rRNA from 1 species